rnacentral:tRNA from 1 species
GGCGUAGCUCAGCCUGGUAGAGCGCCGGCUUUGGGAGCCGGGGGCCGGAGGUUCGAAUCCUCUCGC